rnacentral:tRNA from 1 species
CAAAAUGUAGCUUAAUUAAAGCCUCUCGCUUACACCGAGAUAAUGCCUGUUUAAAUCAGACCAUCUUGA